rnacentral:lncRNA from 1 species
AUGAGUGCUGGAUUCUUGGCCGCUGGACGGCCCCAGAGCGUGAUGUUACCACAGUGUUGCUCCAUCAGCAGGCAGCGGCACACAGCAGGGACAGACCCAGGCAUGCAGCAUAGCCAGCACACAGCCCUGCCGAGAGCCCACGAUGCACUUCUCUGCCUUGCGUCACCACUUCAGUCCAAGCUCCUGAGCCAACGUCUCUGCCCCACAUUCAGCUCCAAGCAUUCUGAAGAGAUGUCCUCUGAUAUGACAUAUCCCAACAGUAACUCUUGCAUACCUGAAGAUUUUCCGAUUACAUAA